CCUACGGGUGGCUGCAGUCGAGAAUCAUUCACAAUGGGGGAAACCCUGAUGGUGCGACGCCGCGUGGGGGAAUGAAGGUCUUCGGAUUGUAAACCCCUGUCAUGUGGGAGCAAAUUAAAAAGAUAGUACCACAAGAGGAAGAGACGGCUAACUCUGUGCCAGCAGCCGCGGUAAUACAGAGGUCUCACGCGUUGUUCGGAAUCACUGGGCGUAAGGCGUGCGUAGGCUGUUUCGUAAGUCGUGUGUGAAAGGCGCGGGCUCAACCCGCGGACGGCACAUGAUACUGCGAGACUAGAGUAAUGGAGGGGGAACCGGAAUGCUCGGUGUAGCAGUGAAAUGCGUAGAUAUCGAGAGGAACACUCGUGGCGAAGGCGGGUUCCUGGACAUUAACUGACGCUGAGGCACGAAGGCCAGGGGAGCGAAAGGGAUUAGAUACCCUAGUAGUC
rnacentral:rRNA from 1 species